UUCCGUAGGUGAACCUGCGGAAGGAUCAUUACCGAGUGCGGGCCCUCGUGGCCCAACCUCCCACCCUUGUCUCUAUACACCUGUUGCUUUGGCGGGCCCACCGGGGCCACCUGGUCGCCGGGGGACAUCUGUCCCCGGGCCCGCGCCCGCCGAAGCGCUCUGUGAACCCUGAUGAAGAUGGGCUGUCUGAGUACUAUGAAAAUUGUCAAAACUUUCAACGAUGGAUCUCUUGGUUCCGGCAUCGAUGAAGAACGCAGCGAAAUGCGAUAAGUAAUGUGAAUUGCAGAAUUCCGUGAAUCAUCGAAUCUUUGAACGCACAUUGCGCCCCCUGGCAUUCCGGGGGGCAUGCCUGUCCGAGCGUCAUUUCUGCCCUCAAGCACGGCUUGUGUGUUGGGUGCGGUCCCCCCGGGGACCUGCCCGAAAGGCAGCGGCGACGUCCGUCUGGUCCUCGAGCGUAUGGGGCUUUGUCACUCGCUCGGGAAGGACUGGCGGGGGUUGGUCACCACCAAAAUUUUACCACGGUUGACCUCGGAUCAGGUAGGAGUUACCCGCUGAACUUAAGCAUAUCAAUAAGCGGAGG
rnacentral:rRNA from 1 species